GCCGAUGUCGGCCGGCAGGCUGGCGGCGACGAGGGUGCGCACCUCGGCGCGGAAGGCCUGUUCUUCGGGGGUGUAGUUCAAGUCCAUGCGUUCGUUCC
rnacentral:tRNA from 1 species